rnacentral:ncRNA from 1 species
CUAACAUCAGUGAUCAGGAAGAGUAGAUACAUUAACUGAGUCCCAGCGAUUCCGGGGCAGUGAAAGCCGGAUACUUAAGCGUGUAUUGAAUGGACCUGUAAGAUGGCGUGCGAAAGUUAUGGUAGCAUAGCCCGGGAGUCAGCCGUUACAAUGAACAGGGUAUCGAGGAAUCCGUACCUUAGAAGAGCGUUUUAUAUUUUGGUGGCAUAGCGAAAUUCAGCAUUUCGUCCUUAAUGGAUGAAAUGCUUUUUUAAUAUAAAACAAAAAUGGGUGGCACCACGAGUCACUUCGUCCCAUAU